rnacentral:rRNA from 1 species
AGCGUAGACGGAUGGACAAGUCUGAUGUGAAAGGCUGGGGCUCAACCCCGGGACUGCAUUGGAAACUGCCCGUCUUGAGUGCCGGAGAGGUAAGCGGAAUUCCUAGUGUAGCGGUGAAAUGCGUAGAUAUUAGGAGGAACACCAGUGGCGAAGGCGGCUUACUGGACGGUAACUGACACUGAGGCUCGAAAGCCAGGGUAGUGAACG